GAAAUGUGCCGAGGGGCCCGGGCUGGCUGGGCCAGUCCCAGCGGCGCAGCCACCCAUGCGCGCGCGCUCGCAAGACCACCAGCGCCCAGAGCCCCAGUCUGAGGCUUGGCGCCGGGGGUCUGCGGGCGAGGGGAGCUCUCUACGUGCGAGGGGCUAGCGGGAGCCGGCACAAGAGGGUCGAGGAGCCAGGAACCCCAAACGUCCGGCGCCAGGCGCUAGCCAAGCUGCUGCGCGCCCCGGCGCCCAGCUGGCUCGGGGACAGCCGCUGGGUGUCGGAGACCGGAGCUAGCGGAUUGCAGCGGAAAAGCAAAGGUAUCCCCAGCUUUAAUUCCCUCCUAAGUUUAUCAGAGAAUGACCCUUCGUCCAACAUCAUCAGGGCCCAGGUACAAGAUUCAGCAGGUUCACUCUUCAGAGUCUAUAUGGACGUGCCAAAAACGCAGCCACCUUACAUCGAAGAGGAGGUAUUGGAAGAAGGGUUGAAGUGGAUGUGAGAUGAGAUGGCCACAGCAGCCAUCCCAGGAGAAGUUCUACAGCAUGGCUGCCCAGAUCAAGCUACUCUUAGAAAUUCCGGAGAAGAUCUGGAGCUCG
ensembl:lncRNA novel transcript